rnacentral:rRNA from 1 species
GACGAACGCUGGCGGCGUGCUUAACACAUGCAAGUCGAACGAAGUGGCGAACGGGUGAGUAACGCGUAAUCAACCUGCCCUUCAGAGGGGGACAACAGGUGGAAACGACUGCUAAUACCGCAUACUGAAGGAGGGGAUUGAGUCUGAUUAGCUAGUUGGAGGGGUAACGGGCCAUCAAGGCGAUGAUCAGUAGCCGGUCUGAGAGGGGUAACGGCCACAUUGGGACUGAGACAAGGCCCAGACUCCUACGUGAGGCAGCAGUGGGGAAUUUUGCACAAUGGGGGAAACCCUGAUGCAGCGACGCCGCGUGAUUUAGAAGGCCUUCGGGUUGUAAAGCUCUGUUAAUCGGGACGCGGUACCGGAAUAGAAAGCCACGGCUAACUACGUGCCAGCCGCCGCGGUAAUUC